UAGGGAAUCUUCCGCAAUGGACGCAAGUCUGACGGAGCAACGCCGCGUGAGUGAAGUAGGAUUUCGGUUCGUAAAACUCUGUUGUUAGAGAAGAACAGCGCAUAGAGUAACUGUUAUGCGUGUGACGGUAUCUAACCAGAAAGCCACGGCUAACUCCGUGCCAGCAGCCGCGGUAAUACGUAGGUGGCAAGCGUUGUCCGGAUUUAUUGGGCGUAAAGCGAGCGCAGGCGGUCAAUUAAGUCUGAUGUGAAAGCCCCCGGCUCAACCGGGGAGGGUCAUUGGAAACUGGUUGAAUUGGGUGCAGAAGAGGAUGGUGGAAUUCCAUGUGUAGCGGUGAAAUGCGUAGAUAUAUGGAGAAAAACCAGUGGCGAAGGCGACUCUCUGGUCUGUAACUGACGCUGAGGAUCGAAAGCGUGGGUAGCAAACGGG
rnacentral:rRNA from 1 species